AGGAGAACUUUGUACGGUGCGUGCCCAUGGCAGAAGUUCAGAGUCUUUGUUGAAUAAACAAGUGCGCCUCUGUCAGAUACGUGCAUGGGAAUGUGUUCUCCCAGUUGCUGGCUUGCCUAUUAGGGAGGUCUUCCGCUUAACACAAGCACCUCACUGGAAUGACCCAGGACUUCGGAAACUGUAUCCUGUCAUGUACGUUACAGUGACGAUAAAAUGAAUACUUACAAACCGCCCCCAAAGUAGAACAUGAGCCCUGCGUUGGGCAGCAUGCCCUUCCUUAUGGGAACUGCUCCCUCAGAGAGAACUACUGUGACCAUUUUCAUGCUUUAAAAAAGUGUUAACCCGUAUGAAUCCAUCUCUAAACAACAUGUUGCUCAGUUUUGCUUGUUUUUGAGAUUUAUAAAAACAGUGUCUUAUAGUGUGGUGUUUUGUUUUGGCCUUCUGAGGCUUUCUUUCACUCCCUUUUUCUUCUAGGAUCCAUCUUUAUUGCUGCAGAUGGGUAUAGGUCCAUUCCCACACUAUAACAUUCUAGUAUGUGGAUUUUUCCCAUUUGUGCAUUAGCACGUCCACGGAAAUAGGGGAUGUUCUCAGUAUUCUUUUUUUAAUUUCAAAGAAUGCAGUUGUGAUUCAGCUUGCUAAUAUGUCCUUAUUCAUCUGUGCAAGAGUUCCUCUAAAGUAUAACUUUAGGAGUGGAAAACCCUGCUCAUGGGAUGGGUAUAUACUGGCUUUUACAAAAUACUGAAUUUUCCACAGUGGUUUUCCAAAUGUGUCUGAAUGUUUUC
rnacentral:lncRNA from 1 species